rnacentral:rRNA from 1 species
GAUGAACGCUAGCGGCAGGCUUAAUACAUGCAAGUCGAGGGGCAGCAGGUCUGUAGCAAUACAGAUGCUGGCGACUGGCAAACGGGUGCGGAACACGUACAGAACCUUCCUUCGAGCGGGGAAUAGCCCAGAGAAAUUUGGAUUAAUACCCCAUAGUAUAUUGAAGAGGCAUCUCUUUAAUAUUAAAGAUUUAUCACUUGAAGAUGGCUGUGCGGCUGAUUAGGUAGUUGGCGGGUAACGGCCCACCAAGCCUACGAUCAGUAACUGGUGUGAGAGCACGACCAGUCACACGGGCACUGAGACACGGGCCCGACUCCUACGGGAGGCAGCAGUAAGGAAUAUUGGUCAAUGGACGCAAGUCUGAACCAGCCAUGCCGCGUGGAGGAUGAAGGUCCUC